rnacentral:rRNA from 1 species
UGAGCAACCUGCCCUUGACUCUGGAAUAACAGCUGGAAACAGCUGCUAAUACCGGAUACGACCUCCGAUGGCAUCAUCUGGAGGUGGAAAGCUCCGACGGUCAAGGAUGGGCUCGCGGCCUAUCAGCUUGUUGGUGAGGUAACGGCUCACCAAGGCUUCGACGGGUAGCCGGCCUGAGAGGGCGACUGGCCACACUGGGACUGAGAUACGGCCCAGAUCCUA